UAACGUCGCGGAAUCAAAACGAUGAUGUCACACCGUAUCAUACAUUCGACGAUCGAGAAACCGACGCAGUGAUUUCGGGUCAAAAUGUUGAAUGAGAUUUAAUUAACGAAGCAGUUUUUGCGAUGUUUCGCCCCAUGUAAUACGCAGCUCCGACAGAAUAUCGAUCAGACGAGCUUGUGAAAAAGUUCUUAACUGUGAUGAGAGUGCGGUGUCGAUUCGAUCGAACAUAUAAUUUUUGACGAAAAAAAGGAUCGUUCAGUUUCUACAAAGGAUUAUAAGCAGCGAACGACUUCUUUACGGGGCGACGUAUUUCGCCGAAUUUUUUUCCGAGAUAUGACUGGAGCAAAUCGUUUUUACGUCGCCGUUGCUAUGGAGGUGCGGGAAAUUCACGACUCGAGUGACGAGUGACGUUCGGUGACUUUUUUUCAGUGAAAGUGGUGACAACGCGGUUCCUUUUUAGAUAGCUUAAUACUACGAGCGACGAUAAACGAAUAUCAAGAACACGCAUUUCUCCGGUCGGUCGCAAGCUCCUCACAGCCGCUCAAGGGUCCCGCAGAUGCUACCACGUUACAGAACCAGAAGAAGGACUAAAAAAAUGUUGGAAAGUGUCGACGAAAUGGAUACAUCAAGAAUCGAGACCUCCAGGAAAACCCUUUGUCUAUUAUGGCUGGUUUUUCUCAUCACAAGUGCGUCAGCUGCCGAGGGAACUUUGGAAAAACU
rnacentral:lncRNA from 1 species